GCCCUAGUUCUAACCAUAAACGAUGCCAGCUAGCGAUCCGCCAAAGUUCCUAUAUAGACUUGGCGGGCAGCUUCCGGGAAACCAAAGCUUUUGGGUUCCGGGGGAAGUAUGGUUGCAAAGCUGAAACUUAAAGGAAUUGACGGAAGGGCACCACCAGGAGUGGAGCCUGCGGCUUAAUUUGACUCAACACGGGAAACCUCACCAGGCCCAGACACCGGAAGGAUUGACAGAUUGAGAGCUCUUUCUUGAUUCGGUGGGUGGUGGUGCAUGGCCGUUCUUAGUUGGUGGAGCGAUUUGUCUGGUUAAUUCCGAUAACGAACGAGACUCUAGCCUACUAAAUAGACGUACUUACCGGCAUCUCAAGGCCCAUCGGCUGAUUUUGUUAUUGAAAUGUUUUUUGUAUAUUCAGUAUGUUGAAAAUCAUAGUCAUGAAAUUUAAUGGUUUUUACUUUCUUGAUCGCACUGAUUAAUUUAGCACAUAUAAUUCCGCCAUCCUCAUUACACAUUUUGUGUUUUGAUGCGAUGGUGUGUAUAUAUGUUGCGGUUAUGGUGUGUGUGAUGGGGGUUCCAUUUUAUCGAUUGGCUAUAAAUAAUAAACAUACGUACAAUAAUAUGAUAUACAUGCAGUUCUUUGAUGUGGUUUUUACUGCCGGCGUACAAAUUAUUCUUCUUAGAGGGACAGGCGGCUUCUAGCCGCACGAGAUUGAGCAAUAACAGGUCUGUGAUGCCCUUAGAUGUUCUGGGCCGCACGCGCGCUACACUGAAGGAAUCAGCGUGUCCUCCCUGGUCGAAAGAUCCGGGUAACCC
rnacentral:rRNA from 1 species